UAACAAUCACAUAUAAGGCAGUUAAUUUUUGGUUGUAUAUAAAUGCUUUUUUUGUUUGUUUGUUUUGGUUUUAGAUUUGCAAUGAACAUUUCCAUUGUCAAUGUGAUCCUGGUUAUGCUCCUCCAGAUUGUGAGCCAUCAAUAGCAUCACCAGGAGGAAGCAUCGAUGACGGAUUUUGGCUUUCAGUAGAUAAAAGUGUACCCUUGUUUCCAAAACGACGUGCUGCUCCUAAAAACAAUGGUCUUUUGAUCAGUUUCUACAUUUUUUCACCUUUGCUCAUUUUAAUUGCUAUUGUCAGUCUUAAAUGGAAUAAAAUGAAGAGAUUUUGGAGCAAAGUGGGAACAGUAAGCAGCAAAUCUAUCUCAGAAGACAGCAGUAGUAACAACAGCCAGUCACAGAGUUAAAGUAACCAAGUGAUAAAAUCAAAGCCAUCAGAUGAAGAAAGGAUAUUACCAAGAAACUCACCGUUAACUUAAAACUUUCAAUUUCACAAAACAAAAUAAAUCAUAUGACUAAAAGCACACAAGCUUGUGUCUAUUGAUUCUUCUACCCUCCAUGAUCCUUUAGCAGGAAGUGA
rnacentral:lncRNA from 1 species